rnacentral:rRNA from 1 species
GACGAACGCUGGCGGCGUGCUUAACACAUGCAAGUCGAACGGAAAAGCUCUGCUUUUGUGGGGUGCUCGAGUGGCGAACGGGUGAGUAACACGUGAGUAACAUGCCCUUGACAUUGGGCUAACUUCAGGGAACUGGGACUCAUACAGGAUAGGAGCUCCUGCUGCAUGGUGGGGGUUGGAAAGUUUCGGCGGUUGGGGAUGGACUCGUGGCUUAUCAGCUUGUUGGUGGGGUAGUGGAUUACCAAGGCUCUGACGGGUAGCCGGCCUGAGAGGGGGACCUGCCACAUUGGGACUGAGAUGCGACACAGACUCAUACGGGAGGCAAGAGUGGGGAAUAGAGCACAAUGGAAGGAAGCAAAAAGCAACAACGCCGCGUGCGGGAUGACGGCAUGCAGGUUGGAAAGCACAUUUGCAUGAGACGAAGAGUGAGUGACGGUAAUGGAUAAAGAAGCACCGGCUAACUACGUG